ACUCUUGACUUGAAGAAUGACAUACAGCAAACUUUAAAAAUACAUUAAACUGCAUGAGAUAUGCAGCUGCAUUUUAGAUCUUCAAAAACUGUUAUUUUAUGUAUUUUCCUUUUUUGGAAUAAAAAAAAUAUAUAUUUUGCCAUCAGUUUUUGUUAAAUAAAUUUAAUUUUUUUUCUUCCUUUUCAGAGGACGCUGUGACAGUUAUAUCUUUGUCUUAAAGAAGUAAACUUAAAUUCUCAGUUUUUACAGAGAACAUCAUGUUUUUUUUUUUUUCCUUACAGUUCUUUACUUCUCCAUAAACACACUUCCUUGUUUUUAUUUUUCCAUCAGGAUUUUCUCCUCUGAUCUGAUUGUGAGGAUGGGACACACUCUGCUCUGUAAACUGGAGUUCAUCUUAGUUCUCUAUUCACUCCUCCACUGUGGACUCACUCAAGAUCCUGUGUUGACUUUUGAACCACAAAGGUCAACUUAUUAUAUUGGAGAAUCUUUAACCUUCAAAUGUGACAUGAGAGAAGGAGGAACAAAUGACUGGGAAUAUAUAUUAUACAAAAGAGGUCAUACAUUAUAUGAUUACUACACAAAUCCAGUCUUCUCGUUUCCUCUGAAUGAACAUCACAGUGGUGAUUAUCAGUGCUGUGGUCACUGGAAAGGUUCAGAUUAUACAAGGUGCAGCAACAUCGUUUCUAUAAAUG